CUAAAAGACUUAUUAGCUAGCUGAUAUACCCAAACGAAGAAAGCUGAUACCAAAGGGGUUUUCGUCUUCUGCAUCUUCCUCCUCUCAAUCUCUCUCAACCAAAGGGGUUUUCUCCCACUCCUAUAAAACAUUAUCCAUCCAAUUCCAUCAAAUCUCUUGAAUCUAUCCUUAAAUCGCAAAUGUAAACUGAUACCUACCCAAAGCCCUAAUCAGAAAUUAUAUUCUCAAAUUAGGUAUGUGUUUGAAUCAUAAAAAUAAUUCUGGGUUUUUCUGAUUUGAGCUUUCGAUUUCGGAGAAAGGAAUCAGAAGUAAUUUUUCUUGAAUAGCCAUCGCCUGAAGCCCUUUCUGAGUGUCGACUGCUCUUUCGCUGGGUCCUGUUGUUGCUUUUAUUAAAUCAGUCUACUAUUAUAUUCUUUCUUUCCGAGUGGUCAUAAUGGCGGGUAGUAGUUCUAUUGGUAGCUUGUAUAAUCCAUCUACUGUUGUAAGUUGUAAAUAGCAAUGCACCAGUUUAAUGUUGCAGCUGCCGCCUCCCCCCUUCCCCAAGUAACAAACCAAGCCAAUGUGAGUGAAAUCUGUUUAUUUAAGUUGAAACAUGAAAGCAGUGAAUGCAUCUCUAUUGAUGUUAUCUUCAUGCUCUAACAAUGUGAUCUUAUAUUUUUUUCUUCGGAAAAGGUCCAAAAAUAUCCUUGAACUAUUCAAAAUAGCUCAAAAAUAUCCUCCGUUUGUUUUUGGUGCCAAAAAUAUCCCUAGUCUAUGUUUUGGCCCAAAAAUGCCCCUAAACCGUUAGUUUUGCCACUAAAGCUGACAUUAGUCCAACUAGAUUAGAAUUGCUUACGUGAUCGUCCACCUAAGCAAUCCAUAUGUGAAAAUUAUUUUUUCGAAAAUUUUAUUUUUCCAGAAU